GGGCCCGUGGUCUAGUUGGUUAUGACGCUGCCUUUACAAGGCAGAUAUCGGCGGUUCGAAUCCGCCCGGGCCCACCA
rnacentral:tRNA from 4 species